AGAAUCAACGCUGGCGGCGUGCCUAACACAUGCAAGUCGCACGAGAAAGUGGAGCAAUCCACGAGUAAAGUGGCGCACGGGUGAGUAACACGUGAAUAAUCUACCUCCGAGUGGGGAAUAACUGAGAGAAAUCUUAGCUAAUACCGCAUAAUACCCACGGGUCAAAGCAGCAAUGCGCUUGGAGAGGAGUUCGCGGCCGAUUAGCUAGUUGGCGGGGUAAUGGCCCACCAAGGCGAUGAUCGGUAUCCGGCCUGAGAGGGCGCACGGACACACUGGAACUGAAACACGGUCCAGACUCCUACGGGAGGCAGCAGUGGGGAAUUUUGCGCAAUGGGGGAAACCCUGACGCAGCAACGCCGCGUGGAGGAUGAAAUCCCUUGGGAUGUAAACUCCUUUCGAUAGGGAAGAUAAUGACGGUACCUAUAGAAGAAGCCCCGGCUAACUUCGCGCCAGCAGCCGC
rnacentral:rRNA from 1 species